UCUUCCUUGGUCUAGUGGUCAUGAUUUCCGCUUGUCAGCACCAAACGUUUGAUGUAACAAGCGCGGGAGGUCAGUUCUUCUCAAACCCCUCAACUCCGAGCAUCUUGCUAACGCAAUACAGACCGGGGUUCGAUUCCCCGAGGGAGAG